UGAGCAGGAUGAAGCGAAAGUAAAAUUUCGUGGAGGUCCGAACCCACGAGCGUUGAAAAGCUCGGGGAUGACUUGUGGGUAGCGGUGAAAUUCCAAUCGAGCCCGGAGAUAGCUGGUUCUCCCCGAAAUAGCUUUAGGGCUAGCCUCAAGGUGAGAGAUACGGAGGUAGAGCACUGAAUGUCCUAGGGGGUAUUGCACCUACCGAAGACUAUCAAACUCCGAAUGCCGUCAUCUUAUACUUGGGAGUCAGACUGUGGGUGAUAAGAUUCAUAGUCGAAAGGGCAACAGCCCAGAUCGUCAGCUAAGGUCCCUAAAUGUAAGUUAAGUGGUAAAGGAUGUGGGAUUGCACAGACAACCAGGAUGUUGGCUUAGAAGCAGCCACUCAUUCAAAGAGUGCGUAAUAGCUCACUGGUCGAGUGAUCCUGCGCCGAAGAUUUCCGGGGCUAAAACUUACUACCGAAGCUACGGCAUCAGUAAUGAUGGGUAGGGGAGCUUCCCAUACGGGUUGAAGCAUGACCGUAAGGACAUGUGGACAGUAUGGGAGUGAGAAUGUUGGCAUGAGUAGCGAGAUGUGGGUGAGAAUCCCACAGGCCGUAAACCCAAGGUU
rnacentral:rRNA from 1 species